GUAGGUGGCAAGCGUUGUCCGGAAUUAUUGGGCGUAAAGCGCGCGCAGGGCGGUCCUUUAAGUCUGAUGUGAAAGCCCACGGCUCAACCGUGGAGGGUCAUUGGAAACUGGGGGACUUGAGUACAGAAGAGGAAAGCGGAAUUCCAAGUGUAGCGGUGAAAUGCGUAGAGAUUUGGAGGAACACCAGUGGCGAAGGCGGCUUUCUGGUCUGUAACUGACGCUGAGGCGCGAAAGCGUGGGGAGCAAACAGGAUUAGAUACCCUGGUAGUCCACGCCGUAAACGAUGAGUGCUAAGUGUUAGGGGGUUUCCGGCCCCUUAGUGCUGCAGCUAACGCAUUAAGCACUCCGCCUGGGAGUACGGCCGCAAGCUG
rnacentral:rRNA from 1 species